GACGAACGCUGGCGGCGUGCUUAACACAUGCAAGUCGAACGGAAAGGCCCUGCUUUUGUUGGGUGCUCGAGUGGCGAACGGGUGAGUAACACGUGAGUAACCUGCCCUUGACUUUGGGAUAACUUCAGGAAACUGGGGCUAAUACCGGAUAGGAGCUCCUGCUGCACGGUGGGGGUUGGAAAGUUUCGGCGGUUGGGGAUGGACUCGCGGCUUAUCAGCUUGUUGGUGGGGUAGUGGCUUACAAAGGCUGUGACGGGUAGCCGGCCUGAGAGGGUGAACGGCCACAAUGGGACUGAGAGACGGCCCAGACUCCUACGGGAGGCAGCAGUGGGGAAUAUUGCACAAUGGGCGGACGCCUGAUGCAGCAACGCCGCGUGCGGGAUGACGGCCUUCGGGUUGUAAACCGCUUUCGCCUGUGACGAAGCGUGAGUGACGGUAAUGGGUAAAGAAGCACCGGCUAACUACGUG
rnacentral:rRNA from 1 species